ACAUGCUGCUGUUGCUGGGAGUGGGAAAGAGGUGGCAUCGGCGGUUCAAGACUGAGUUUUCUAUCUCUUCAGUGCCUCUUUCAACAAUGAAGAUCAAACCAGGUUUUGUGCAAAUAUCUGCUGAGUGAACUACUUAUUUGAAAAUACAUCAUUGGUUAAUAUUCCCUUUUGCUCAUUGAAAUCUCAAAGACUACAGACCCCGCACAAGACAUUCUGACAUUCCCGUCUUUGAAAUGAAUGACAGCAAUGAUAAAUAUGGCUCACCUCCAGAGAUACAGAUCUCACAACUUCAUAUUUUUAAUAUAAAUUAUUAAUCUGAGAAGCAGAGAGAGAUAAGACCCAUGAUAAUCAAGCCAUAAACAGAUGCAUUUACUAGCUGAAUGGCCAACAAUGGAAUUCAACAAAUCCAUCUUGAGCACGGCAGCCAGGAGUGUGGUGCAAUUCCAUUAGAUGAAAGAGAUCUACACAUUCAGAAGCACAUGAUUCUUCCCCCUUCCAUGAUUCCAGUGGCCAAUAGACAAACUACAAUAAAGCCAUGCCCUGACUGGAUGUGCCUAACAUUUGUCUGGUGCUUAAAGGAGUUGGCUGCAUGCGUGGAAAUGUUGGAAAGUCACCAAAAAUAGUUCUCCAAGUCAGAAGCGGUGCAAAAGCUGCCUCAGCUCUUGGUGGAUUUUCAAUUUCUCCCAGCCAUCUCUGUUUCGCUAAAGGUUUCUGAAGACAGUGGAAUGCUGUUGAAGACACCACCUUGAUAAAACAAAAACAUCAGCCAAAUUAAAUUUAAAGGAGUUUAAUUGAGCAAAGAAUUAUUCAUGAAUCAAGCAGUCUUCCAAGCCAGAGUAGGCUCAAAUACUCCAGCACAGCCACGUGGUGGAAGAUUUAUGGACAAAAGAAGAAAAGUAACAUAUAGAAAAUGGAAAUGAGAACUGUGCUCCAUAUAUCUGGAAAGCAAGAAUGAAAUAAUUUACAGAUAUACUAUUGAAAUUUCAGGGAAGCUUUUUUCUCCUCCCCAUCCUGAUCACUAGUAUGAGAAGGGGUGCUAAUGGACCAGCCUUGGCCUUGCAGAUGAAGAUGAUGAAGGAAGAAGGUAAAAGGAAACUGUGUACCUGUGUGACCUCUGGUAGUUCAGGUGCCCUAUCCUGCGGGCCACCUGUUAGCUUAAACUUUUGUAUAAUUGAGAAAA
rnacentral:lncRNA from 1 species